CUAUGAAAGAAAAUAGGCCGUCCCCUUCUUGUGGUCGCCCAAAAGAAAAAAAGAGGAGGGGGUGUCCAAGAGUUGGACGCCCCGUAACUCCCCAUGUGAAGCCCCUCUUUUCUUUCCUCUUUGGAAAAGUUUUUAUGAGAGUUUGAUUAUUGAUUCUUAGGCAUCAAAGAGAGGCUUCUCUGCUGGUUUUGAUAGUAGAAAAUUAGAGAAAAAAGUUUUUCCCAAC
rnacentral:lncRNA from 1 species